rnacentral:lncRNA from 1 species
AAAAUUAAACCAAAAAGUAAUAUUAGAGAGAGAGAGAGAGAGUGAGAGGGAAGAGAGAGCGGAGAGACGACAGUUUUAAUUGGAGAGUAAAUACAUGCCCCCUGGACAAGAGGCCAUGUGAGCCCAUGUGUGCGUAUGUGUUGGGAUAGAAAGAAAUAUAGAGAGAGAGGGAAGAGAGAGGGGAUAAAAAAUUGGCACGUACAUGGCCUAUGGAUAUAGAGUCCAUGUGGAACCAUGUGGAAGUGAAGAGAGGCCAUGAGAGAGAGAGAAAACUCAUAUAAAAAAAUGACGACGUGGCUCGACAGAGGGACGUCGUUUGGUUUCUCCUUUAGUAUAGACUUUUAUUUAUCUGGUCAAGUCAGCAGUUCUCAACAUGUAUCUUGUUGGUUUUUAGAGUUUAAGUUCAUCUUUGAAUUUAAGUAUGUCACUGCUAUGACAAACAUGGCAUUCAAUUUCCAUACCGGCUGUGCCGAUCUAAAUUUUUUUUUCAGAUGAGAUUGCUCUACAAUUCACAGCAGAUAUUUACUUGGGUGCGCUUCUAACCUCCCCGAGUAUUGCCUCGUCACAUUAUGCUGGAAGAGAAGAGAAAAAAAAAGAAAAGAAAUGUCAACUGUGCCAAAGAAAUUAGAAGACACAAUAUAAAAUAUUCACAGUAACUUAAACUUUAGAUUUAGAAAAAAACAGGCGAUGUGGCUUAACGACGGAACACCGUUUUUCGACGAACUAUUUUUCUUCACCAAAAUCAAAACAAAUUUAGCGAAAAAUUUCAUCCGAAAAAACUAAAAUAUAAAUAGCCCGACAAUGUUAAAGCAACGUAAAAUAAUUAGAAUAAUUAAAACUUCAAAUUUAAAAAAACAGGCGAUGCGGCUUCACGAUAGAGUGUCAAAACAAAUUUAGCGAAAAAAUAGUUCAACGAGCUAUUUUUCUUCACCAAAAUCAAAACAAAAGAGAGCAAACAAAUUUUCUGUUUCUCUUGACCACCCUGUUACUGCUUCACUCUCUCAUUUUUUUUUUCCUUCUUGAAUUCCUUUGUGUUUGCGUGUCUUGGGUUAGGAGAAAAUCUAGAGAGAGAGAGAGGGAAGAGAGAGGAGAGAGAUCAUGACAAUUUUAAUUGGAGAGCAAAUACAUGUCCCCUGGACAAGAGGUCAUAUGAGUCCAUGUAUGCGUGGGUGUUGGGAUAGAAAGAAAUGUAGAGAGAGAGGGGAGUGAGAGGGGAUGUAAAAUAGGCAGGUACAUAGCUUAUGGAUAUAGAGUCUAUGUGGGACUAUAUGAAGGGAAGAGAGGCCAUGUGAGAGAGAGAAAACUCAUAUGAAAAAAUGACGACGUGACUCGACGGAGGGACGUCGUUUGGUUUCUCCUUUAGUAUAGAGUUUAAUUAUAAGGUAAAUUUCACCGGUC